AUUGAACGCUGGCGGCAUGCCUUACACAUGCAAGUCGAACGGCAGCACGGGGCAACCUGGUGGCGAGUGGCGAACGGGUGAGUAAUGCAUCGGAACGUACCUUUCAGUGGGGGAUAACAUAGCGAAAGUUACGCUAAUACCGCAUAUUCUGUGAGCAGGAAAGCAGGGGAUCGCAGGACCUUGCGCUGAUUGAGCGGCCGAUGUCAGAUUAGCUAGUUGGUGAGGUAAAGGCUCACCAAGGCGACAAUCUGUAGCGGGUCUGAGAGGAUGAUCGGCCAGACUGGAACUGAGACACGGUCCAGACUCCUACGGGAGGCAGCAGUGGGGAAUUUUGGACAAUGGGGGCAACCCUGAUCCAGCCAUGCCGCGUGAGUGAAGAAGGCCUUCGGGUUGUAAAGCUCUUUCGGCCGGGAAGAAAUCGCACGGGCUAAUACCCUGUGUGGAUGACGGUACCGGAAUAAGAAGCACCGGCUAACUACGUGCCAGCCGCCGCAGUAAUAC
rnacentral:rRNA from 1 species